rnacentral:rRNA from 1 species
GAUGAACGCUAGCGGCAGGCCUAAUACAUGCAAGUCGAACGGAUAGCUUCGGUUAUUAGUGGCGAACGGGUGCGUAACGCGUAAGUAACCUACCUUCUACAGGGGGAUAGUUUUGGGAAACUGGGAGUAAACCCGCAUGAGGCAUUUUUCACGGCAUCGUGGGAUUGUUAAAGCUACGGUGUAGAAGCUGGGCUUGCGUCUGAUUAGCUAGUUGGGGGGGUAACGCCCACCAAGGCUAUGAUCAGUAGGGGCUCUGAGAGGAGCGGCCCCCACACUGGCACUGAGACAGGGGCCAGACUCCUACGGGAGGCAGCAGUAGGGAAUAUUGGGCAAUGGGCGGAAGCCUGACCCAGCCAUGCCGCGUGCAGGAAGAAGGCGUUCAGCGUUGAAACUGCUUUUAAUGUGGAAGAAGAGUCAUUCUGCGGGAUGAUGUGACGGUACCAUGGAAUAAGCACCGGGCUAACUCCGUGCCAGCAGCCGCGGUAACUCGUCUCUA